UUAUGAGAUUAAAUCAAUAAAUAAUCAUUAAAAAAAAUUAAAACGAAAAGACUCAAUUUCAGUCAUUAUUCUUAUUUGUCUGAUUUAAAUUGAAACAAUCCUUAAUAUAUUCCAUCUUUCUGAGGCAGAGGGACAUUAUUCUUGGUUUUAUUAUAUUUAAUUUAAUAUCUCUGGAUAUUUUUCAUAAUUGGUUUGCGUACAACAGUUAACAACUUUAAGCUUAUACAUUAACUUUAGUUAUAACUUGAUUAUUAAUGAUUUGUUUUGUAGACUUUUAUAGCAAUACAAGAUUGAAUUUAGCAGAAGGCUAAACUUCUGCUCUGGAGACAAAAAAGGAAGACAGCAAAAAUGACCAGCCAAAAUAAAGAUUAAAGAAACAAAAAAUUGUGUAUAUCUUGGUGUAGAAGAUUUAUCCUCAAUUUCUUAUAAUAAAACUAAAAAUGUUAUUAAACUUUAAGAUUUACCUGUAACUCUAAACCUUUUACACAAGUUCAAUGUUUGCUCUGAGAAGUUGAAUGAACAAAGUUUAUUAAAUGAUAAAGUUGUAUCCCUAAAAGAUAUGCUGGUAUUAUUGGCACUAUGGGCAAGCAUUGAAGUGCAACUUGGUGAACUACAAAACACAUCAAAUAUAGUUAUAAAAAUUUGAGUAACAAAGGUAUGCUAAUUAUUGUAUUGCCUGAAAGAGUGUCAUUAAAAGUAAAGAAUUCAAGUACUCUGGAAGAAAAAAGACAAGAAAAGACUUAAUUAAAUGGUUAAUUAUUUGACACAAAUUAGAUUUAAGGACGAAGGAGAUUGUAUAUGUUAUUUACUAAGAAUAGUUUUUUAAAAUGGCCUAGCUGUAAAAUUAAGCUAUGCAGGUAGAAGACAAAAAAUUGGAAUAGGAAAAAUGUUGCUUGCAUAUGCUGCUAUUGAAACUGUGAAGUCAAAUAAGCAUAGCUUAUGCAGACAUUUGAUAGAGAUAGUGGAAAAAAAAUAAUAAAUAAUCGUGGGCACCAAAUACCAUAAGCUAAACACAAUUCAAUAACAAGUAGCUCAGCCAAUAUCGAAACUACUCUAUAAGUUUUGUAGUGAAUUUUUUUAUUUAAAACUCAAUGUGUCAGUUUUUGGUUUAGGUUUGUUGUUUGCAAUAUGUAUAUUUAACCGAGAAAUUAUGUUAAAUAAAUAAAUUUUUAUACUUGUA
rnacentral:lncRNA from 1 species